AUUGAACGCUGGCGGCAGGCUUAACACACGCAAGUCGAGCGGAGAGAGGUAGCUUGCUACUGAUCUUAGCGGCGGACGGGUGAGUAAUGCUUAGGAAUCUGCCUAUUAGUGGGGGACAACAUUUCGAAAGGAAUGCUAAUACCGCAUACGUCCUACGGGAGAAAGCAGGGGAUCUUCGGACCUUGCGCUAAUAGAUGAGCCUAAGUCGGAUUAGCUAGUUGGUGGGGUAAAGGCCUACCAAGGCGAGGAUCUGUAGCGGGUCUGAGAGGAUGAUCCGCCACACUGGGACUGAGACACGGCCCAGACACCUACGGGAGGCAGCAGUGGGGAGUAUUGGACAAUGGGCGCAAGCCUGAUCCAGCCAUGCCGCGUGUGUGAAGAAGGCCUUAUGGUUGUAAAGCACUUUAAGCGAGGAGGAGGCUACUUUAGUUAAUACCUAGAGAUAGUGGACGUUACUCGCAGAAUAAGCACCGGCUAACUCUGUGCCAGCCGCCGCAGUAAAAC
rnacentral:rRNA from 1 species